rnacentral:rRNA from 1 species
AGAGUUUGAUCCUGGCUCAGGAUGAACGCUAGCUACAGGCUUAACACAUGCAAGUCGAGGGGCAGCAUUUUAGUUUGCUUGCAAACUAAAGAUGGCGACCGGCGCACGGGUGAGUAACACGUAUCCAACCUGCCGAUAACUCGGGGAUAGCCUUUCGAAAGAAAGAUUAAUAUCCGAUAGUAUAUUAAAACCGCAUGGUUUUACUAUUAAAGAAUUUCGGUUAUCGAUGGGGAUGCGUUCCAUUAGUUUGUUGGCGGGGUAACGGCCCACCAAGACUACGAUGGAUAGGGGUUCUGAGAGGAAGGUCCCCCACAUUGGAACUGAGACACGGUCCAAACUCCUACGGGAGGCAGCAGUGAGGAAUAUUGGUCAAUGGACGAGAGUCUGAACCAGCCAAGUAGCGUGAAGGAUGACUGCCCUAUGGGUUGUAAACUUCUUUUAUAUGGGAAUAAAGUAUUCCACGUGUGGAAUUUUGUAUGUACCAUAUGAAUAAGGAUCGGCUAACUCCGUGCCAGCAGCCGCGGUAAUACGGAGGAUCCGAGCGUUAUCCGGAUUUAUUGGGUUUAAAGGGAGCGUAGGUGGAUUGUUAAGUCAGUUGUGAAAGUUUGCGGCUCAACCGUAAAAUUGCAGUUGAAACUGGCAGUCUUGAGUACAGUAGAGGUGGGCGGAAUUCGUGGUGUAGCGGUGAAAUGCUUAGAUAUCACGAAGAACUCCGAUUGCGAAGGCAGCUCACUAGACUGCAACUGACACUGAUGCUCGAAAGUGUGGGUAUCAAACAGGAUUAGAUACCCUGGUAGUCCACACAGUAAACGAUGAAUACUCGCUGUUUGCGAUAUACAGUAAGCGGCCAAGCGAAAGCAUUAAGUAUUCCACCUGGGGAGUACGCCGGCAACGGUGAAACUCAAAGGAAUUGACGGGGGCCCGCACAAGCGGAGGAACAUGUGGUUUAAUUCGAUGAUACGCGAGGAACCUUACCCGGGCUUAAAUUGCAUUUGAAUAAUCUGGAAACAGGUUAGCCGCAAGGCAAAUGUGAAGGUGCUGCAUGGUUGUCGUCAGCUCGUGCCGUGAGGUGUCGGCUUAAGUGCCAUAACGAGCGCAACCCUUAUCUUUAGUUACUAACAGGUCAUGCUGAGGACUCUAGAGAGACUGCCGUCGUAAGAUGUGAGGAAGGUGGGGAUGACGUCAAAUCAGCACGGCCCUUACGUCCGGGGCUACACACGUGUUACAAUGGGGGGUACAGAAGGCAGCUACCUGGUGACAGGAUGCUAAUCCCAAAAACCUCUCUCAGUUCGGAUCGAAGUCUGCAACCCGACUUCGUGAAGCUGGAUUCGCUAGUAAUCGCGCAUCAGCCAUGGCGCGGUGAAUACGUUCCCGGGCCUUGUACACACCGCCCGUCAAGCCAUGAAAGCCGGGGGUACCUGAAGUACGUAACCGCAAGGAGCGUCCUAGGGUAAAACUGGUAAUUGGGGCUAAGUCGUAACAAGG